rnacentral:rRNA from 1 species
CGCUCCUGACGGACCUUGAAAAUUUGGAGGACCGAAUUCCGUCCAUGCCCGAUCAUACUCAUAACCGCAUCAGGUCUCCAAGAUAAAUAGGCUCUGGUCGAUGGAAUAAUAUAUGAAAGAAAAGUCAGAAAAAUAGAUCUAUAACUUCGAAAAAAGGAUUGGAUCUGAGGGCUGGGCAUGGGGGUCCCAAUCCUAAACCCGUCGACUAUUGGUGGACAACUCGAUCUGUUCCCACGGUAAGAGUAGGUCGCUGCUUGUCGAUCGGGGGAUGGAUUGGGAACGGUUCCUUUUAGGGCCUUCCCUCCCCGUCAAACAGCCAACUCAGAACUGGUAUGGAUAAUAGAAAACCGAUUUAUUUAUUAAAACAAAGCAUUGUGAUGGUCCCAAUAGAUGUUCAAGCAAUAUGAUUUCUACCCAAUGCUCGGAAUGUCAAGGUGAAGAAAUUCAACCAAGCACGGGUAAACUGCGGGAGUAAUUAUGUCUCUCAUUGGAAUGACUACAAUCUAAAUCCCUUAAUGACGAUCGAUUGGAGGAGAAUUAUAUUGCCAGCAGUCGUGGUAAUUCAAGAUCCAAUAUCAUAUAUUUAAGUGGUUGAAGUUAAAAAGCCCGUACUUGGACUUUAGGAUGGGCCGGCCAGUCCGCCUAUGAUGUGCACCGGUCAUCUCGUCCCUUCUACCGGCGAUGCGCUCCUUGACUUAAAUGGCUGGGUUGUGCCUCCAACGUUGUUACUUUGAAGAAAUCAUAGUUCUCAAAGAAAGCCUACGCUCUAUUUACAUUAGCAUAAAAUAACACUACAGGAUUUUAGUUCUAUUACGUUUGCCUUCGAGAUCAAAGUAAUGAUUAAUAGGGACACUCGGGGGCAUUCAUAUUUCAUAGUCAGAGGUGAAAUUCUUGGAUUUAUGAAAUAUGAACAACUGCAAAAGCAUUUGCCAAGGAUGUUUUCAUUAAUCGAGAAUGAAAGUUGGGGGCUCGGAGAUGAUCAGAUAUCGUCCUAAUCUCAACCAUAAAUGAUGCCCACCAGGGAUCGAUGGAUGUUGCUUUUAGGACUCCACCGGCACCUUAUGAGAAAUCAAAGUUUUUGGGUUCUGGGGAGAGUGAGGUCACAAGGCUAAAAGUUAAGAGAAUUGACAGAAGGGCACCACCAGGAGUGGAGCCUGGGGCUUAAUUUAACUCAACACGGGGAAACUUAUGAGGUCCAGACAUAGUAAGGAUUUAUAGACUAAGAGCUCUUUAUUGAUUUUGUUGGUGAUGGUUCAUGGACGUUCUUAGUUAGUGGAGUGAUUUGUCCGGUUAAUUCCAUUAACAAAUGAUAUCUCAGCCUGCUAACUAGCCAUGCGAAGUUAUCCCUUCGCGGCCUGCUUCUCAGAGGGACUACGGACUUUUAGGCUAUGGAUGUUUGAGGCAAUAAAUGGUCUGUGAUGCCCUUAGAUGUUUUGGGCUGCACAUGCACUACACGAAUGUAUUCAACAAGUUUAUAGUCUUGGCCGAUAGGCUCGGUUAAUCUUUGAAAUUUCAUUGCGAUGGGGAUAGAUAACUGAAAUUAUUGGUCUUCAACGAGGAAUUCCUAGUAAGUGCGAAUCAUCAGCUCGCAUUAAAUACGUCCCUUCCCUUUGUGUACACCACCCAUUGCUCUUACCGAUUGAAUAAUUUGGUGAAAUAUUUAGAUCAGCACAAUGUUGGCGGUUCGCUUCCCUAACGUCGCGAGAAGUCCAUUGAACCCUGUCAUUUAGAGGAAGGAGAAGUCAUAACAAGGUUUCUAUAGGUAACCAAAAGAAG